GGGGGGGGGGGGGCAAGGCGUUGUUCGAAUUUACUGGGCGUAAAGGGCUCGUAGGCGGCCAACUAAGUCGAUUGUGGGAAUCCCUCGGGCUCAACCGGGGAACUGCGACCGAUACUGGAUGGCUUGAAGCCCGGGAGAGGGAUGCGGAAUUCCAGGUGUAGCGGUGAAAUGCGUAGAUAUCUGGAGGAACACCCGUGGCGAAGGCGGCAUCCUGGACCGGUCUUGACGCUGAGGAGCGAAAGCUAGGGUAGCAAACGGGAUUAGAUACCCCGGUAGUCCUAGCUGUAAACGAUGAAUGCUUGGUGUGGCGGGUAUCGAUCCCUGCCGUGCCGUAGCUAACGCGUUAAGCAUUCCGCCUGGGGAGUACGGUCGCAAGGCUG
rnacentral:rRNA from 1 species